rnacentral:rRNA from 1 species
AGAAUACCAGAGUAUUAAUAGUUAUUUUCUUUAAAUUCAAAGAAUUUGGCGGUGUUUUAUUCCUCUUAGAGGAACCUGUUUCGUAAACGAUAGGCCACGAAUAUCUUACCUAUUUUUAGUUUGUAUACCGUCAUUAUUAGAUAACUUUGAUAAAUUGAGUUGUUGAAAUUAACAUGAUUAGGUAAAUUAGAUCAAGGUGCAGCUUAUAAGUAGGAGAAAAUGGGUUACAAUAAAAGUUAUUUAUAUGGAUUUAUUGACGAAGUGUUAAUAAUAAAGGUGGAUUUAAUUGUAAUGUUUAAAAUAAAAAUAAUUUGAUA